rnacentral:rRNA from 1 species
GAUGAACGCUGGCGGCAUGCCUAAAACAUGCAAGUCGAGCGGUAAGGCCCCUUCGGGGGUACACGAGCGGCGGACGGGUGAGUAACGCGUGGGAAUCUACCCAAACUGAGGGAUAAGCAUUGGAAACGAUGUCUAAUACCGCAUAUGGUCUUCGGAUUAAAGCUUCGGCGGUUUGGGUAGAGCCCGCGUAAGAUUAGCUAGUUGGUGAGGUAAAGGCUCACCAAGGCGACGAUCUUUAACUGGUUUGAGAGGAUGAUCAGUCACACUGGAACUGAGACACGGUCCAGACUCCUACGGGAGGCAGCAGUUAGGAAUUUUCCACAAUGGGCGAAAGCCUGAUGGAGCAAUGCCGCGUGCAGGAUGAAGGCCCUAGGGUUGUAAACGUGCUUUUAUACGUGAAGAAUAUGACGGUAACGUAUGAAUAAGGAU